GAGGGUGUAGCUCAGUGGCAGAGCACUCGCUUCACGAGCGUAAAGCCCCGGGUUCGAUUCCCGGCAUCCUCG